rnacentral:rRNA from 1 species
AGGUCACUGCUAUUGGGAUUCGACUAAGCCAUGCGAGUCGUGAGGGUUCGGCCCUCGGCAGACGGCUCAGUAACACGUGGAUAAUCUACCCUUAGGUGGAGGAUACCCUCGGGAAACUGAGAAUAAUACUCCAUAGAUCUAGACUGCUGGAAUGCUUUUAGAUCGAAAGAUUUAUCGCCUAAGGAUGAGUCUGCGGACUAUCAGGUUGUAGUCAGGGUAAUGACCUGACUAGCCUACGACGGAUACGGGUAGUGAGAGCUUUAGCCCGGAGAUGAUAUCUGAGACACGAUAUCAGGCCCUACGGGGCGCAGCAGGCGCGAAAACUUCGCACUGUGCGAAAGCACGACGAGGGAAUCCCAAGUGCUGGCUCGUAAGAGUCAGCUGUUUCUCUGUCUAAAAAACAGGGAGAGUAAGGGCUGGGUAAGACGGGUGCCAGCCGCCGCGGUAAUACCUGCAGCCCAAGUGGCGGCCGCUAUUAUUGGGCCUAAAACGUCCGUAGCCGGUUCUAUAAAUGCCUGGGUAAAUCGUACGGCUUAACCGUACGAAUUCCGGGUAGACUGCUGGACUUGGGACUGGGAGAGGCUAGAGGUACUCCUGGGGUAGAGGUGAAAUUCUGUAAUCCUAGGGGGACGACCAGUGGCGAAGGCGUCUAGCUAGAACAGGUCUGACGGUGAGGAACGAAGCCCUGGGGCGCAAACGGGAUUAGAUACCCCGGUAGUCCAGGGUGUAAACGCUGCUUGCUUGAUGUUAGUCGGGCUCCGAGCCCGAUUAGUGUCGGAGAGAAGUUGUUAAGCAAGCUGCCUGGGGAGUACGGCCGCAAGACUGAAACUUAAAGGAAU